UUCAGUCCAACUUAGAUCAGUCACAAAAUAUUGAAUUUCUAUAGGAUAUAUGAUCGUAUCAGUUUCGUGUUUAAUUAUAUAUAUCAGCUCUUUCACUAUUUAAUAAUAAAAAUGUUUCAAAAACACUUGUUCAUCACGGCCUUUCUUUGUAAACAUGAACGCUCCAUUUACCAUCUGGAUUUUAUUUUUACUUUUUAUUUUACUGGUUCUCCAUUCUCUCCUAUCAGAUCGUACGAGGCGGUUGGUCUUGUCGCUAUCACUAUGUUUUUCAUUUAUAUUUUGUACUAUAUCUUAUCUAGAAAUCUUGAAUACAAAUCAUAUAGGUUUUCUAUAAUAUCGUAAAGGUCAAGAAUAUUUUUUUUCCGCGUUACUUGAGGUCUACCCCUUCACUGUCCGUCGUGCUUUAAUAAUUGAUGUAUAAACAGUGCCUGUAUCUACCACAAAAAGGACAGUUUUAAGUUUUGACAAGUCGUUGCUCACUUUAAUUAUCAAACUUUAAGUUUCACCAUAUCGAAAAAUCAAAGAUCCCCACAGCUAUUUUAUAAUUUUGUGAAUGCCUCGUUUCUCCUGUUCCCACUGCUUCCCAGCUUCUCAUUAUUGAUGCCGUCUCCUGAUGGCUUGAGUGUUUUUUUUCUUCACAUUAUGUUUUACAUUUAAAUUUUAUAAGGUUUAUUAUUAUAAAAUCCGACUUGUAUCCACGUAAUCGAGAAUAUGCUGUAGCUUCACAUUUGUGGGAUGUUUUAGUGGGCUUAAUACAAAUCUCAAAUCUAUAAAAUAUACAGCUUAAUUUAUUUUCCUGUAUACUGAAUGCAUCUCUAUAUAUUAAAAGAACGCUAUAACUAAACAACCAUUUAAUGCAUACCUUCAUUAAUUACGUUAUAUAUUAAUCCAGCAUAUUGUAGUUUUAUAAAUUUUUUUUUGAAUAAAAAUUUGGUAGUGAAAUUUUUAUUUAGAAAUGAUUUUUUUAAAUAAAUAAUAUAAUUAUCUAUAAUUAAGUUACAUGUCAAAUAAUGUAAUAUUAUUAUAUAAAAAUGAGUGGGACGAACAUGAUAUGUAUUAGACUAUAUAUAUGAAAUAAUCUAGUUUGGUUUGGAGUGACUCAAGAAAAUAUGUAAGUCUAUGAUUUUAUUGUAUAUUUAUAUAUAUAAACUAUAUUAAAAAUGCAAAAGUACAGAAAUGAAUUUUUUUUUCCUAAAUAAUUGUAAUCCUCAACCCAGCAGAAUUUCUAUUGCACUUUAAUUAAUUGUAACCGGGGAUAAUAUAUUAUUUCUUGCUAGCUACGGCCUACGGGGGAUAUAGCAUAUAAUUUUUUAAACCUAAUUUUCAAAAUUUAAUUCAAAGAUAAAAAUAAACUUUAACUAUUUCCAUUAGAGUGAGUUCGAAAUUGGUCAGCUGAAGGUUUCCGAUCCAAGUGGUUCCUUCCUGUAAUAUUACCUGCAUCCGAUAUUUUAACGUAUCAUGCAAGAUCUAGCUACCUAAUUAACAACUCACAUGUAUUUAAUAUUUAAAUACUACUGUUAAAACAAGGUAUUAGUUAGGAACUGAUUAUUGAUGAGGUAUUUAAAUAAUAAUUACUUUAAGACAAAUGUUUUCAGCAUCUGCGUCACACGCCUUGUACUGAUUGGAAGAAGUCAACCUGAAAGAACGAUGCCAGAAAGGUUAACCAUUAUUCCGAGAUUUUUACCCUGUCAGCAGUUAAAAACAUUGAUAAUUAAUAUUUCAAAGUUUAACUAAUCCUACUUUGACCUAGAACUCCAAGCAACCACAAAAUUUGGUUCAUCAAGGCACGUUCUUUCGUGAAAAUUUAGGGCAAGAGAUCCGGUCCCAUUUUGUUUAAACUCGGUUAACUAUCAUAUAUUUUACAAAAUAAAUAAAUAAAUAUAUAUAUAUAUAUAUAUAUAUUUUGAUUUCAAUUCUAAUAAAACGGAUUCAUUAAAUAUAAAUAAGUGUAAUUUAUAAAUACAUAUUUUUAAUAAUUUAAAUCAAUAUUAUAAGUAAAAUAUUGAUUUUUCGAGACAUCGAAAGGAACAAGCACUUUUUUUAUUGAAAAAUAUGUGUUCCUGCCUAUGCGUAGUGAUAUUUGGUGUCUACUAGCCCAAGAACCACAAAUGGUUCCUCAAUGUCGAAAAAGAUACCCGUUCUCGUGCAACAUGAUCGUCUCAUCAUAUAUAUGGGACAGAUUUUCUUGGAAGAUGAUUUGGGGUUAGGGAUGAACUGGCAAUUGAUUGUUGUAAUAGAUAUUUAUUUUUCACAAUUAAUAUAUUUAAAUUUUUUAUUUGCAUGUUUUUAAAUGCAUGGACGUUUUAAACAUCCACUUUAAUAGAGCACGAUGGAUAGCCGGUGAGUUUAUCCUCUGUUUUCCCGAUAUCUGGGUUCGAUUCCGAUUUACCUCGAGAAAAAACAGAUACUAAUUUGUAAGGCAUAAGCUGCAUGGUAAAAAAAAAACAUCUACUUUAAUAAAUAUACGUAUAUCUCAGAGAAAGGAUUACGCGGGGACCGAAGAAAAAAGAAUAGAAAGAGGAAGGGUGUCUGAAAGAGAAAGGCGGCCCAGAGGUUCAAUACUACUGGCUGGCAUAAACAGUAAUACAGGUUUUGAUUUUUCUUUCUCAAAUGCAAAAUUUACCUCAAAUUAUAGUUGUAUUCCAAAUGUAGAACAAAAAGAGUAUCAUCAGAUCAUGCAUUAAGAGGAACAUAAUCACCCUUCACCGCAGGCACAAUAAUUUAUAUUAUUAAAUAUUCAUUGAUUUGCAAUUGCAGUCUCUAUUAUAUAGAACAUAUAAUAUAUAUUUCCAUGCCUAACAACUACCAACUCUAGUCAACUUGAUAUAACAUUCCAACAUGCAGGACAGCUUAUACUUAUGUAUUUUGUCUAUUCGCACAAGCUGUUCACUUUUGAACUAUUCAUGUGAUCUAGGUACAUACGUUUUUACGGCAAUACCAGUUUGGUUUACAAGGUAAAAAAAUGAGAAUGCUAUAAAUAGAGGAUCCAAGGUUGCUUAAGAGCACAGCAGACAAGCAUCUCUUGAGUCACAUUAUGGCAGGAAAACACAAGGGGACCAAAAUGGCUCCUCUUAUUCUUACUCUUCUAGUGGUGUUAGUAUCUCAGUACUUGCCUUUACAGACUCAAGCAUCAGCCUAUACUUACUCUUCCCCUCCUCCUCCUUAUCACUAUAAGUCACCACCACCCCCUCCCCCGGUUCACUCACCACCACCACCACCCUACCACUACAAAUCACCACCACCGCCACCCCCGGUUCACUCACCACCACCACCUUACCAUUAUAAGUCCCCACCCCCACCACCUCCCAAGCACUCACCACCUCCUCCUUACCACUACAAAUCACCACCACCUCCUCCUCCUGUCCACUCACCACCCCCUCCUUACCAUUAUAAAUCCCCACCUCCACCAGUGCACUCACCACCUCCUCCAUACCACUAUAAAUCCCCACCACCACCACCUCCAGUUCACUCUCCACCCCCACCAUAUCAUUACAAGUCACCACCACCGCCAGUACACUCACCACCUCCUCCUUAUCACUACAAGUCACCACCACCACCAGUGCACUCCCCCCCCCCACCAUAUCAUUACAAGUCACCACCACCGCCAGUACACUCACCACCACCUCCUUAUCACUACAAGUCACCACCACCACCAGUGCACUCCCCUCCCCCACCAUACCACUACAAAUCACCACCACCCCCAGUGCAUUCACCACCACCACCAUACCACUAUAAGUCACCACCACCUCCAGUGCACUCACCACCACCCCCUUACCAUUACAAGUCACCACCUCCACCACCACCAGUACACUCCCCUCCCCCACCUUAUCACUACAAGUCACCACCACCCCCAGUGCAUUCACCACCACCACCAUACCACUAUAAGUCACCACCUCCCCCUCCACCCGUACACUCCCCUCCCCCCCCCUACCACUACAAAUCACCACCACCCCCAGUGCACUCACCACCACCACCAUACCAUUACAAAUCACCACCACCUCCACCUCCAGUACACUCUCCUCCCCCACCUUACCACUACAAAUCCCCACCCCCAC
rnacentral:lncRNA from 1 species